UUCUAUAAUAAAAUUGAGAAUGGAAAUGGGGAAUGUGUCAAAGAGACAACAACCCGCCCAAAUAAAAAACAACAGCAGAGGGUCACCAACAGGUCUUCAAUGUAGCGAGAAAUUCCCGCACCCGGAGGCGUCCUUCAGCUGGCCCCUAAACAAAUAUAUACUAGUCCAGUGAUAAUGAACGCCAUACUAAUUUCCAAAUUGUACACAAGAAACUAAAAUUAAAAUAAUACAAGACUAACAAAGGCCAGAGGCUCCUGACUUGGGACAGGCGCAAAAAUGCGGCGGGGUUAAACAUGUUUGUGAGAUCUCAACCCUCCCUCUAUACCUCUAACCAAUGUAGUAAAGUAAACGCAUAACAAUACGCACAUUAAAAUUCAGUUCAAGAGAAAUCCGA
rnacentral:lncRNA from 1 species